AGUGAACGCUGGCGGCAGGCUUAACACAUGCAAGUCGAGCGGGCACUUCGGUGUCAGCGGCAGACGGGUGAGUAACACGUGGGAACGUACCCUUUGGUUCGGAAUAACGCUGGGAAACUAGCGCUAAUACCGGAUACGCCCUUUUGGGGAAAGGCUUGCUGCCGAAGGAUCGGCCCGCGUCUGAUUAGCUAGUUGGUGGGGUAAUGGCCUACCAAGGCGACGAUCAGUAGCUGGUCUGAGAGGAUGAUCAGCCACACUGGGACUGAGACACGGCCCAGACUCCUACGGGAGGCAGCAGUGGGGAAUAUUGGACAAUGGGCGCAAGCCUGAUCCAGCCAUGCCGCGUGAGUGAUGAAGGCCUUAGGGUUGUAAAGCUCUUUUGUCCGGGACGAUAAUGACGGUACCGGAAGAAUAAGCCCCGGCUAACUUCGUG
rnacentral:rRNA from 1 species